CCCUUAGAUGUCCUGGGCCGCACGCGCGCUACACUGAGUGUCUGAGAUACGAGUCUGCCUGGUCCGGCAAGGUCUAGGUAAUCGCUAAAAGACACAUCAUGCUUGGGAUAGAUUAUUGCAAAUAUUAAUCUUGAACGAGGAAUUCCUAGUAAGCGCAAGUCAACAGCUUGCGUUGAUUACGUCCCUGCCCUUUGUACACACCGCCCGUCGCUACUACUGAUUGGAUGUUUAAGCGAGGUUCUCGAACUGCUAGCGACUUAGCUUCGGUGAGGUCGCAGUGUGGGAAGUGAACCUAGCUUUGGUGUCUAGAGGAAGUAAAAGUCGUAACAA
rnacentral:rRNA from 1 species